rnacentral:rRNA from 1 species
CCAAUAGCGUAUAUUAAAGUUGUUGCAGUUAAAAAGCUCGUAGUUGAAUUUCUGGCCGGAGGCCAAGGUCUCUUCGAGGCUUUGUUUUUCCAGGCCAUCCUCCCGGGAACCAUAGACUCACUUCAAUGGGAGAUAUGCGGAACGGGAUUUUUACUUUGAAAAAAUUAGAGUGUUUCAGGCAGGCUUAAGCCCGAAUAUUACAGCUGAGAAUAAUGGAAUAGGACUGAGUCCGUUUUGUUGGUUUUUACAGGAUUCGGUAAUGAUUAAAAGGGACAGUUGGGGGCAUUAGUAUUUAAUUGUCAGAGGUGAAAUUCUUGGAUUUAUUAAAGACUAACUAAUGCGAAAGCAUUUGCCAAGGAUGUUUUCAUUAA